rfam:Stegodyphus mimosarum contig70587, whole genome shotgun sequence.
UCCUUCAUGGUGUAAUGGUAGCACACUCGGCGCGCAAUCGAGAAGUCCAGGUUCGAGCCCUGGCAAGGGCA